GGUGGUUCAGUGGUAGAAUUCUCGCCUUCCAUGUGGGAGAUCCGGGUUCGAUUCCUGGUGCCA
rnacentral:tRNA from 1 species